GCAAGUCGAAGGUGAAGUUAGACUUCGGUCUAACAGAAACUGGCGCACGGGUGAGUAACGCGUGGGGAUAUGCCCAAAGGUACGGAAUAACCGUUGGAAACGGCGGCUAAUACCGUAUGCUCCCUCAGGGGAAAAGCUUCGGCGCCUUUGGAUUAUCCCGCGUCCGAUUAGCUUGUUGGUGAGGUAAAGGCUCACCAAGGCUCCGAUCGGUAGCUGGUCUGAGAGGACGAUCAGCCACACUGGGACUGAGACACGGCCCAGACUCCUACGGGAGGCAGCAGUGGGGAAUAUUGGACAAUGGGGGCAACCCUGAUCCAGCCAUGCCGCGUGAGUGAAGAAGGCCCUAGGGUUGUAAAGCUCUUUCAGCGGGGAAGAUGAUGACGGUACCCGCAGAAGAAGCCCCGGCUAACUCCGUGCCAGCAGCCGCGGUAAUACGGAGGGGGCUAGCGUUGCUCGGAAUUACUGGGCGUAAAGGGCGCGUAGGCGGACUUUCUAGUCAGGCGUGAAAGCCCCGGGCUUAACCCGGGAACUGCGUUUGAUACUGGAAGUCUAGAGUUCUGGAGAGGGUGGUGGAAUUCCCAGUGUAGAGGUGAAAUUCGUAGAUAUUGGGAAGAACACCGGUGGCGAAGGCGGCCACCUGGCCAGACACUGACGCUAAGGCGCGAAAGCGUGGGGAGCGAACAGGAUUAGAUACCCUGGUAGUCCACGCCGUAAACGAUGUGUGCUAGACGUCGGGCAGCUUGCUGUUCGGUGUCGCAGCUAACGCGU
rnacentral:rRNA from 1 species